AACAAGAGGUUUCAUAAGAGAUUCAUAAGAGAUACUACCAACAAGAGGUUUCAUAAGAGAUACUACCAACAAGAGGUUUCAUAAGAGAUACUACCAACAAGAGGUUUCAUAAGAGAUACUACCAACAAGAGGUUUCAUAAGAGAUACUACCAACAAGAGGUUUCAUAAGAGAUACUACCAACAAGAGGUUUCAUAAGAGAUACUACCAACAAGAGGUUUCAUAAGAGAUACUACCAACAAGAGGUUUCAUAAGAGAUACUACCAACAAGAGGUUUCAUAAGAGAUACUACCAACAAGAGGUUUCAUAAGAGAUACUACCAACAAGAGGUUUCAUAAGAGAUACUACCAACAAGAGGUUUCAUAAGAGAUACUACCAACAAGAGGUUUCAUAAGAGAUUCAUAAGAGAUACUACCAACAAGAGGUUUCAUAAGAGAUACUACCAACAAGAGGUUUCAUAAGAGAUACUACCAACAAGAGGUUUCAUAAAAGUUUCAUAAGACAUACUACCAACAAGAGGUUUCAUAAGAGAUACUACCAACAAGAGGUUUCAUAAGAGAUACUACCAACAAGAGGUUUCAUAAGACAUAAAAAAUUUAAUGAAAAUUAAAUGACUAAAAUGUAAAAUGUAAAUACUACCAACAUCGGGUCUAGCAUGAAGCGCU